AGUGAACGCUGGCGGUAGGCCUAACACAUGCAAGUCGAACGGCAGCACAGUAAGAGCUUGCUCUUACGGGUGGCGAGUGGCGGACGGGUGAGGAAUACAUCGGAAUCUACUUUUUCGUGGGGGAUAACGUAGGGAAACUUACGCUAAUACCGCAUACGACCUACGGGUGAAAGCAGGGGAUCUUCGGACCUUGCGCGAUUGAAUGAGCCGAUGUCGGAUUAGCUAGUUGGCGGGGUAAAGGCCCACCAAGGCGACGAUCCGUACCUGGUCUGAUAGGAUGAUCAGCCACACUGGAACUGAGACACGGUCCAGACUCCUAGGGGAGGCAGCAGUGGGGAAUAUUGGACAAUGGGCGCAAGCCUGAUCCAGCCAUACCGCGUGGGUGAAGAAGGCCUUCGGGUUGUAAAGCCCUUUUGUUGGGAAAGAAAAGCAGCAGGUUAAUACCCCGCUGUUCUGACGGUACCCAAAGAAUAAGCACCGGCUAACUUCGUG
rnacentral:rRNA from 1 species